AUGGGGUGACUGCGUACCUUUUGUAUAAUGGGUCAGCGACUUAUAUUCUGUAGCAAGGUUAACCGUAUAGGGGAGCCGUAGGGAAACCGAGUCUUAACUGGGCGAAUGAGUUGCAGGGUAUAGACCCGAAACCCGGUGAUCUAUCCAUGGGCAGGUUGAAGGUUGGGUAACACUAACUGGAGGACCGAACCGACUAAUGUUGAAAAAUUAGCGGAUGACUUGUGGAUGGGGGUGAAAGGCCAAUCAAACCGGGAGAUAGCUGGUUCUCCCCGAAAGCUAUUUAGGUAGCGCCUCGUGAA
rnacentral:rRNA from 1 species